rnacentral:rRNA from 1 species
CGCGUGUACUGGUCCGGCCGGGCCUUUCCCUCUGUGGAACCCCAUGCCCUUCACUGGGUGUGGCGGGGAAACAGGACUUUUACUGUGAAAAAAUUAGAGUGCUCCAGGCAGGCCUAUACUCGAAUACAUUAGCAUGGAAUAAUAGAAUAGGACGUGUGGUUCUAUUUUGUUGGUUUCUAGGACCGCCGUAAUGAUUAAUAGGGACAGUCGGGGGCAUCAGUAUUCAAUUGUCAGAGGUGAAAUUCUUGGAUUUAUUGAAGACUAACUACUGCGAAAGCAUUUGCCAAGGAUGUUUUCAUUAAUCAGGAACGAAAGUUAGGGGAUCGAAGACGAUCAGAUACCGUCGUAGUCUUAACCAUAAACUAUGCCGACUAGGGAUCGGACGAUGUUAUUUUUUGACUCGUUCGGCACCUUACGAGAAAUCAAAGUGCUUGGGCUCCAGGGGGAGUAUGGUCGCAAGGCUGAAACUUAAAGAAAUUGACGGAAGGGCACCACCAGGGGUGGAGCCUGCGGCUUAAUUUGACUCAACACGGGGAAACUCACCAGGUCCAGACACAAUGAGGAUUGACAGAUUGAGAGCUCUUUCUUGAUUUUGUGGGUGGUGGUGCAUGGCCGUUCUUAGUUGGUGGAGUGAUUUGUCUGCUUAAUUGCGAUAACGAACGAGACCUUAACCUGCUAAAUAGCCCGUAUUGCUUUGGCAGUACGCUGGCUUCUUAGAGGGACUAUCGG